rnacentral:rRNA from 1 species
GAGACAGCAGCCGCCGCGGUAAUACGUAGGGUGCGAGCGUUAAUCGGAAUUACUGGGCGUAAAGCGUGCGCAGGCGGUUGUGUAAGACAGGUGUGAAAUCCCCGGGCUUAACCUGGGAACUGCGCUUGUGACUGCACAGCUAGAGUAUGGCAGAGGGGGGUGGAAUUCCACGUGUAGCAGUGAAAUGCGUAGAGAUGUGGAGGAACACCGAUGGCGAAGGCAGCCCCCUGGGCCAAUACUGACGCUCAUGCACGAAAGCGUGGGGAGCAAACAGGAUUAGAUACCCCGGUAGUCCCUGUCUCUUAUAC